UACGUAGGGUGCAAGCGUUAAUCGGAAUACUGGGCGUAAAGCGUGCGCAGGCGGUGAUGUAAGACAGAUGUGAAAUCCCCGGGCUCAACCUGGGAACUGCAUUUGUGACUGCAUCGCUGGAGUACGGCAGAGGGGGAUGGAAUUCCGCGUGUAGCAGUGAAAUGCGUAGAUAUGCGGAGGAACACCGAUGGCGAAGGCAAUCCCCUGGGCCUGUACUGACGCUCCAUGCACGAAAGCGUGGGAGC
rnacentral:rRNA from 1 species